GUAAUUUCCGAUGGUCUGGCGAUCAAUUCUUUGAUGUGAAAAAAAAUGUAAAAAUCAAAGUUCAAAAAUCAUAAUGAUAAUGCAAAAUUUUAAAACGCAUUUAAACAUUUUGCAUUUUAAUUUGUCAUUUUUGAUAUUUACUUUUUGGAUUAGAUUAUUAUGUAAAAUAAAAUACUUCACAUUAGAGAUUUGAUCGCCAGUAAAGAAUGCAGCAAUGUAUUCGGUGUUCGAUUGGCCUAGGUCCUAUCAGCUAGUUGGUUUACUCGCCUAAGUUUUUGCUCCGCAAAAAUUUAGGCGAGCUAGAGGUAAUGGCUCACCAAGGCGAUGACGGGUAGGGGGUGUGAGAGCACGACCCCCAACAAGGGAACUGCGAACGGUCCCUACUCCUACGGGAGGCAGUAGCCGAGAAUCUUCGGCAAUGGGCGAAAGCCUGACCGAGCGACGCCGCGUGCAGGAUGAAGGUCUUCGGAUUGUAAACUGCUUUUGUAGGGGAGAAAGCCGAUUUUUUCGGUUUGAUGUUACCCUACGAAUAAGGAGCUGCAAACUACGUGCCAGCAGCCGCGGUAAUACGUAGGCUCCAAGCGUUAUCCGGAUUUACUGGGCGUAAAGCGUCCUUAGGCGGUUCUGUCUCGCAAGAGAGCCCCUACCAUUUAUAAAAUGGUAGGAGUCUAGUCUGAUGUUAAAGCCUCUGGCUCAACCAGAGAAAUGCAUUAGAUACGGCAGGACUAGAGGGAGAAAGAGGCAAGAGGAACUCACGGUGUAGGGGUGAAAUCCGUUGAUAUCGUGAGGAACACCGAAAGCGAAGGCAUCUUGCUGGGUCUCUUCUGACGCUCUAAGACGAAAGCGUGGGGAGUAAAAAGGAUUAGAUACCCUUGUAAUCCACGCCCUAAACGAUGGAUGCUGGCUAUUGGUAGUAUCGACCCUAUCAGUGGCGAAGCUUACGCGUUAAGCAUCCCGCCUGGGAAGUACGGCCGCAAGGCUAAAACUCAAAGGAAUAGACCGGAGCUCGCACAAGCGGUGGAACAUGAGGUUUAAUUCGAAGGCAAACGAAGAACCUUACCAGGGCUAGAAAUCCUGUUGAACACCUGAUGAAAGUCAGGUUUCCGCAAGGACAGCAGGACAGGUGCUGCAUGGUUGUCGUCGGCUCGUGGCGCGAGUCGUUCCCUUCAGUGGGGAAACGAGCGCAACCCCUGUCAGUUGUUAAAUCUGUCAACUGAGACCGCCCCCCUCACUUGGAAUGAAUAAGCAAAUUCAUAAAAUGAAUUUGCAUCUUUGUGAAAAUUAAAUAGAAUGUUCAGCUGAUUGAAGUUUUGCAUCUUAAUUUAUUCUUGAUGAAAUCAAUUCAUUUCAAGUGAGGGGGGAGGAAGAAGGGGAUGACGACAAAUCCGCAUGGCCCUCUGAUGCCCUGGGCUACACUCAUGUUACAAUGGGAAGAACAAUGCGCUUGCCAAGUCGUAAGACGGAGCCAAUCGCACCAAAUCUUCCCCCAGUUCAGAUUGAGGUCUGCAACUCGACCUCAUGAAGCCGGAAUCGCUAGUAAUCGCGGGUCAGCUAUACCGCGGUGAAUACGUUCUCGAGCUUUGUACUCACCGCCUGUCAAGUCAAGGGAGCCGGGAAGAGGUGAAGCCUCUGUAAGGGGUUAGCCUCGGCUCGGUGACAGGGGCUAAGUCAUAAGAUAAAAAAU
rnacentral:rRNA from 1 species